AAUUAAAAGUACAGGUACAGCAAUCUAAGCAGUCACUGGAAGCAGGGAGUGGUUAACCGAGAGGGGGUAAAGAGUGACAGUUGGCGAGUCAGUGGGCUGGUCGAUAUGUUUGUGUAUUUUGCCCUCCAAGAGUUUCCAACGUAUGCAUAGAGAUUUUUAUGUUUUUGAAAAUUAUUGCGUAUAAGGUAAGUGGGAUGAAUUAUUUUUGUUUCUUGAAAAGACGUUUUUAUUCCAGAUGCCAUCGUUUUGUCCCGAUUAAGGGAAAAUGGCUGCGAACACUAAACACCGUAGUGUGGUUGUUGGAUUGGGGAUACUAAUUUGCCGCGAAUGAACACCUAUUGAUAGCAGUCAUUGCUGAACAGGUUCUAAUACAUUGUUUAAAGUACUCUGGAAGAUUCCGUACACGGAUGUUCGUUAUUCGGGGGAAAUACGCCAUUCAGGGCUUUUAUUAUCGGCUUCCGGGAAUCACCAUCAAUGGACCCUGAACGAACAGCAUCUAUUGCUUCGUAGGUGAAAGAAAAAAAAAAAAACGGGUGAAGAGCCAUUAGAAGAGCAGGACGAACGACGCAGGAAAUGUGUUUUUUUUAGUGUAGAAAAUGAUUAUGUCAGUGAUGGAUGUCGUUGAAAAUGAAUAAAAAAUGGAAGUGAAAAGGAGUUUAAUAAAAAAUAAA